rnacentral:lncRNA from 1 species
ACUGAAUUUAAUAAAGGCUUGGUGCUACAAAAAGCCAUGUAAGGGGAUGAUGCUGGAGUUCUUUUGUUUCCCUCCUGAAUUUUCUUGUAUAGGUUUGUCUUUAGAUGCCAUGGUCCGGAAUCUGCACUCCCAGAUGAUAAUGAGUCAGUUCAUCUUAGACUGUGCUGCCUGUUGGUAACUAAGAGCUGGGGCUGGUCAGCUAAAGGGCUUGUUAGGGUACUGCUCAAAUGAAGCCAAAAUUAUGAGCUCUAACACAUGGGAUUGUUAGGUUCAGUGUCCGCCAGCCAUCCCCCAAAAUGCCUGGGUUUAGUCAUAAGGGGCAUCAGUUUAGAAGCAGUGAUGAAGCAUCCAUGCUGCGGUGCUUGGAGAUGAGCCUUAAAAUCCACACUUCCCCGGCGGUAGCUAAAGGACUUCAUUACAAAUCAGUAGUAGUUUUACAUAUAGAUUGUAAGAGGAGGGAAUAUCUGAACGCAUCCAGAGGCUUCACACAGAAGGGGAUAUCUGAACUGGCUUUGGUAAAAAGCAAAUUAACAUUUUUGUCUUAUGGAGAUUGAAGCAAAGCAUAAGCCCAAAGAACGAAGCAUAAAAUUCAAGAGCACAUUCAGGUUUGUCACAGUGGGUGGAGGAGUGGGGCGGGAGGAAGGAGAGGGAAGGCACACUUAGUUGAGGUGAGCUGUCAGGCGGGCUGGCUGUUCAGAGGUGGGUGCCCUGUGUGGGGAGGCUCUUUGAUUCCUGGGGAGGAAGGCUAGAGAACAGGCAGCUCUUUUCUCUCUGCUAGAAAAGAGGAGGCGGCUCCUCACAAGGUUCCUUCCCACAGCUGAGCACUGCCCACAGCUGCCCUUGCCCCUGCCUUUCCACGUUGCACAAGCCCAGCGCACGGUACCCACUGGAUAUGCCCGAGGCCUCCAGAGGAAAGGAAAGGAGGAAAAGGGACAGAAGAAAUGUUCACAGGAACUGCAUAUGGGCCUGCUACUUGUGUCAAAAUGUGACUGAACUCUCUUCCAGCAGUGUGAAUCCCUGGAAGGCAAGAUCGCCAUUCUGGUCUCUUGUGGAUAUCAAUGCUGAUCUCAGCUUCUGAUGCACGGCAGUCAAUUAAUAAAUGAUUGUUGCCUGAAAAACUGAGCCCCAAAACAAUAUUACAAGUUUAAUAUCAGUAAAGGAUUUAAUGCUUUCUAACAUGAAGAUACCAGAAGUUGCUGAUUUUUGUAUAACCCAGAGAUGGAUUUAAAUGCAGAGUGUAUGAACUUCUUCAUUCCUGAGGGAGGACUUAUGAUUUCAUGAGAAAUGCCCUAGGAAAGGGGCCGGGGAGACUGAUGGAGAAGAAGAGUUUGGGAGGGAAGCCCCAAGGACCAUCUGCCCCAUCAGAGUCACAUGCAGAGGGUCCUGCUCCUGCCGUUGGAAGUUGGCUUCCUGAGCUGCUGAACGUGCCAGUCCUGCUGACCCACUCUCAGAUAUCACAGGCACCCGCUGUGUCUGACAGAGACCUUUCUGCAAGUACACGUGCAGGUCUGCUCUGCAAAGGCGUUAUCAUCUGCAGAUUAUUGCACAGAGUGGCUACGAGCUGUGGUGUGAUCCUGUCACAGAGAGAGCCUGGUCACGUUUUCAGAACAGCAGGAAACAGGACAUUUUGAAACAUGUUUUCAGUGGUGAAAAGGACGUCUGCAAGAGGAACUGAAAGAGAAAUAAACAGUCACUGGAAACACACGCUGAAGGCGGGGAUUGGGGCACAUAUUAAUAAAAUAGCUUGAGUAAAAUUGGAUAAUGCACAAGAACAGCAAAACAGAACAAAACAAAACCCAACAACGAUGAGGAAUUCAUCAGUGAAGGGCUCGCGGAAUGUUCUGAGAAUAAUUCUUCCUUGCUAAUGCCCUCCAGUUUGCAUUAAGAUGCCCAGCAGUUCACCCUCCAGUCUGAGCCAGGCCAGCUACACAGGCUGAAAGUUUCUUAGGCCCUCGAUGACGAUCCUGGACAGGCACCCUGAACACAGCCUCCCCGGUACAUUCUUAGUGCACUCACAGAAUCUGCUGCUUCCCAGGUCUUUUGGAUGUGAAAUGAAACCCCAAGGACUGCUUUAACAAGGGGCAAAAACACAUGCAACCAAAGCCAGCAGUUAUGCCGAAGCAUCCCGGAUUCCCAUGAGAAACUCUCUGGAUCUAGUUCCUCUACGUCACAUGAGUGUGCAAACAGGAGACUACAAGAGUUUAAAAAUACUGGGACUGCUGGAGAUUUCCCUGGCCAUAUAUAGUUCACUUGUUUCACAGUAAGUUCAAAAGAGACAAAGGGAGAGGGAGGGAAAGAAAGAAGGCAACGGGCACUCAGCUUGAGUGAGUAGGGAACCUGAUUACAAUACUGUGCCACCUUCCUUCUCCCCCCAGCUCCGCCCCGGCACUCUCACCCCCAG